rnacentral:sRNA from 2 species
AGAGUUGGUAGCUAGGGUUCCGGCCUUGUCUGAAGGCGCUGGUCCGAGAGCUGCCCCCCGAAGGGAGAAAUCCUUCGGACGCACGGCGGGACAAAAGCCCGGGAGGC